UGGGGAAUAUUGCGCAAUGGGCGAAAGCCUGACGCAGCGACGCCGCGUGAGGGAUGAAGGUUUUCGGAUCGUAAACCUCUGUCAGAAGGGAAGAAACCGCACUGUGCUAAUCAGCAGUGCCUUGACGGUACCUUCAAAGGAAGCACCGGCUAACUCCGUGCCAACAGCCGCGGUAAUACGGAGGGUGCAAGCGUAAAUCGGAAUUACUGGGCGUAAAGCGCACGUAGGCUGCUUUGUAAGUCAGGGGUGAAAUCCCACGGCUCAACCGUGGAACUGCCUUUGAUACUGCUUAGCUUGAAUCCGGGAGAGGGUGGCGGAAUUCCAGGUGUAGGAGUGAAAUCCGUAGAUAUCUGGAGGAACAUCAGUGGCGAAGGCGGCCACCUGGACCGGUAUUGACGCUGAGGUGCGAAAGCGUGGGGAGCAAACAGG
rnacentral:rRNA from 1 species